rnacentral:sRNA from 1 species
UGGAAAGCCUCAGAAACCAGUUCUGCGCUCAGACACACCUGACGUUUAAGAAUUUUCUUUUAAGACCAUGGUUUUGUGGUUUUAGAUGUUUUGCUUCUCUGGAAAGUUGGUCUAAGGAAUGCACAAACCCUUUUGUGCAACAAAUCUUUUUCUUUGUUGUCUACAGUGAUGAAAGCUUGAGACUCGCCAAUCAUAAUAAUGAAAACAUGUUUCUUACUUGAGAGUUGAG